UUCAUCAUAACGACAUAUAUAAUUUAUGGCCCCCAGGGAGGGGGGGCCUGUGACUUUCCCAACUGCGAUAAUAACAUGUGCCGUUAUUAUUUUGUUGGUGCAGAAAACCGGAAUUUAAUCUAGCAGUUGUCGACUAUGUCAAAUCUGACAUGGAGUCAGAAUGCCACAAUCGUAUACUGCACAUUGCACAAGCAAAAGAGAAAAAGACGAGAGAUA